UACGUAGGAUGCAAGCGUUGUCCGGAUUUACUGGGCGUAAAGGGCGCGUAGGCGGCAAAUUAAGUCAGCUGUGAAAUCUCCGAGCUUAACUCGGAACUGUCAGCUGAUACUGAUCUGCUAGAGUGCGGAAGGGGCAAUCGGAAUUCUUGGUGUAGCGGUGAAAUGCGUAGAUAUCAAGAGGAACACCUGAGGUGAAGACGGGUUGCUGGGCCGACACUGACGCUGAGUGCGCGAAAGCCAGGGGAGCAAACGGG
rnacentral:rRNA from 1 species